rnacentral:RNase_P_RNA from 1 species
GGCCUGGGAUGGCCGUAGUGAUGAUGCAGACACAUAAAAAAUAAAGUCUGACGUUCCACCUCCACCCAAUCCCGUUUCCCCAUAGGUUGGAUUGGAUGGAGGUGGAGCGAUGGCGAAUUUAAGAAUAAAGCCAAGGGGCCAAUACCUUAAAUUCAUAAAGUGCCACAGAGACGAGACGACCGGAAACGGUCGGAGUGAAACGCGGUAAACUCCUCC